CCUAAAACCUGUAGAAAUAUCCUGCACAGUUUCUCCAUGUGUCCUGCAUGAUUUCAUUAUUCCUUUUGUACGGGAAUACAAAUGAUUUUUUUUUUGUACGGGAAUGUGCAGAGGAUCGUGGAAGCCAGAGAAAAACACUGAAAAGAUGUUGAGCUUUCUGCCACACCAAUAUGGACAAGAUGUCAGAUUGUGAAUCUCAUGGAAAAAGACACAGUGGACAGUCCUAAAGGAAAUGAAUAAGGCAAAAAUGGGGGGAAACGUAAGGAUGGAUGAUAGGU